rnacentral:tRNA from 1 species
CCCGGGCGGCAGCAUCCCGUCAGAUGCCGUCUCGUCAGGCUCAUAACCUGAAGGUCAUAGGUUCAAAUCCUAUCCCCGCAACCA